rnacentral:lncRNA from 1 species
UGACAGCAGAAAUUUGUAUACUGAAGAAACCAAAGCCAAGGAAUCAAGAGGGAGGAGGAGGAGAAGAAGGUGCAUGUCUGAUUGAUACCUGUAAUAAGAAUUAAGGAGAGGAUGAGGAGAAAAUGACACGACAGACUCGCUUCCUCCUCCUCCAUGUCAAAGCUGCUAUCAUCGAAGAGAAGAAAAGAAGAGGAAUAAGGUUGCAAAUGAACAACUAUGAUAUCCUCCUGACA